CCUACGGGAGGCAGCAGUGCGGAAUAUUGGUCAAUGGACGAGAGUCUGAACCAGCCAAGUAGCGUGAAGGAUGACUGCCCUAUGGGUUGUAAACUUCUUUUAUAUGGGAAUAAAAUGUUCCACGUGUGGGAUUUUGUAUGUACCAUAUGAAUAAGGAUCGGCUAACUCCGUGCCAGCAGCCGCGGUAAUACGGAGGAUCCGAGCGUUAUCCGGCUUUAUUGGGUUUAAAGGGAGCGUAGGUGGAUUGUUAAGUCAGUUGUGAAAGUUUGCGGCUCAACCGUAAAAUUGCAGUUGAAACUGGCAGUCUUGAGUACAGUAGAGGUGGGCGGAAUUCGUGGUGUAGCGGUGAAAUGCUUAGAUAUCACGAAGAACUCCGAUUGCGAAGGCAGUUCACUGGACUGCAACUGACACUGAGGCUCGAAAGUGUGGGUAUCAAACAGGAUUAGAUACCCGAGUAGUC
rnacentral:rRNA from 1 species